rnacentral:rRNA from 1 species
CCUACGGGUGGCAGCAGUGAGGAAUAUUGGUCAAUGGGCGCGAGCCUGAACCAGCCAAGUAGCGUGAAGGAUGACUGCCCUCCGGGUUGUAAACUUCUUUUAUAAAGGAAUAAAGUGAGGCUCGUGUGCCUUUUUGUAUGUAUUUUAUCAUUAAGGAUCGGCUCACUUCGCGCCAGCAGCGGCGGUAAUAUGGAGGAUCCGAGCGUUAUACGGAUUUAUUGGGUUUAAAGGGAGCGUAGAUGGGUUGUUAAGUUAGUUGUGAAAGUUUGCGGCUCAACCGUAAAAUUGCAAUUGAUACUGGCGGCCUUGAGUGCAGAUGAGGAAGGCGGAAUUCAUGGUGUAGCGGUGAAAUGCUUAGAUAUCACGAAGAACUCCGAUUGCGAAGGCAGCUUACUAGACUGCCACUGACAUUGAGGCUCGAAAGUGUGGGUAUCAAACAGGAUUAGAUACCCGAGUAGUC